GGAGAGAGGGAAAUCUGAGUUUGGAGCGUAGCUAGAGCUGAGAUUCUGGAGCUGCGCCUGUGCCUUCCUGUUCUUCCUCCUAAAUCUGUUCUCCUUCCUCCAGGUGGCUUCCUGUUUGAAGGGCUCUCUGAUGAUGAGGAUGACUUUCACCCAAGCGCCAGGUCCACACCCUCGAGCAGCACACCCAGCUCCCGCCCAGCUUCCCUGGGGUACAGUGGAGCUGCCGGACCCCGGCCCAUCACCCAGAGUGAGCUGGCCACCGCCCUGGCCCUGGCCAGCACUCCGGAGAGCAGCUCUCACACACCGACUCCUGGCACCCAGGGCCAUUCCUCUGGGACCUCCCCGAUGUCCUCCACGUCCAGUCUGGGACGCCCAUCACCAACGAUCUCUUCAGCCAAGCCCUCCAGCACGCCCUGCAGGCCUCCGGGCAGCCCAGCCUGCAGGUCAGUGGCAGCCUCCAGG